CAGCCGCCGCGGUAAUACGUAGGUGGCAAGCGUUGUCCGGAAUUAUUGGGCGUAAAGCGCGCGCAGGCGGUUCCUUAAGUCUGAUGUGAAAUCUCGCGGCUCAACCGUGAGCGGUCAUUGGAAACUGGGGAACUUGAGUGCAGGAGAGAAGAGCGGAAUUCCACGUGUAGCGGUGAAAUGCGUAGGGAUGUGGAGGAACACCAGUGGCGAAGGCGGCUCUUUGGCCUGUAACUGACGCUGAGGCGCGAAAGCGUGGGGAGCAAACAGGAUUAGAGACCCGGGUAGUCCACGCCGUAAACGAUGAGUGCUAGGUGUUAGAGGGUUUCCGCCCUUUAGUGCUGCAGCUAACGCAUUAAGCACUCCGCCUGGGGAGUACGGCCGCAAGGCUGAAACUUAAAGGAAUUGGCGGG
rnacentral:rRNA from 1 species